CUGAGACAGAUGUAAACCCUGACCCUGAACGGCACCCCAGGUUUCUCCCUCCCUGAUGACAGCUGGGCCUGAGACAGAUGUAAACCCUGACCCUGACCGGCACCCCAGGUUUCUCCCUCCCUGAUGACAGCUGGGCCUGAGACAGAUGUAAACCCUGACCCUGCCCUUCACCCCAGGUUCCUCCCUCCCUGAUGACAGCUGGGCCUGAGACAGAUGUAAACCCUGACCCUGCCCUUCACCCCAGGUUUCUCCCUCCCUGAUGACAGCUGGGCCUGAGACAGAUGUAAACCCUGACCCUGCCCGGCACCCCAGGUUUCUCCCUCCCUGAUGACAGCUGGGCCUGAGACAGAUGUAAACCCUGACCCUUCCCUACACCCCAGGUUUCUCCCUCCCUGAUGACAGCUGGGCCUGAGACAGAUGUAAACCCUGACCCUGAACGGCACCCCAGGUUUCUCCC
ensembl:lncRNA